CUAUGCGCCUUGCCAGCCCGCUCAGUCAGAGUUUGAUCCUGGCUCAGAUUGAACGCUGGCGGCAGGCCUAACACAUGCAAGUCGAACGGUAACAGUAAGGAGCUUGCUUCUUAGCUGACGAGUGGCGGACGGGUGAGUAAAGUCUGGGGAUCUGCCUAAUGAGGGGGAUAACCACUGGAAACGGUGGCUAAUACCGCAUAAAGUCGGAAGACCAAAGCUUGGGACCGAGAGGCCAGGCGCCAAGAGAUGAACCCCAGAUGGGAUUAGCUAGAAGGUGAGGUAAUAGCUCACCUUGGCGACGAUCUCUAGCUGGUCUGAGAGGAUGACCAGCCACACUGGAACUGAGAGACGGACCAG
rnacentral:rRNA from 1 species